CCUACGGGGGGCAGCAGUGGGGAAUAUUGGGCAAUGGGCGCAAGCCUGACCCAGCAACGCCGCGUGAAGGAAGAAGGCUUUCGGGUUGUAAACUUCUUUUGUCAGGGAAGAGUAGAAGACGGUACCUGACGAAUAAGCCACGGCUAACUACGGGCCAGCAGCCGCGGUAAUACGUAGGUGGCAAGCGUUGUCCGGAUUGACUGGGUGUAAAGGGCGUGUAGCCGGGUUGACAAGUCAGAUGUGAAAUCCUGCGGCUUAACCGCAGAACUGCAUUUGAAACUGUUGAUCUUGAGUACUGGAGAGGCAGCUGGAAUUCCUAGUGUAGCGGUGAAAUGCGUAGAUAUUAGGAGGAACACCAGUGGCGAAGGCGGUCUGCUGGACAGCAACUGACGGUGAGGCGCGAACGCGUGGGGAGCAAACAGGAUUAGAUACCCCUGUAGUC
rnacentral:rRNA from 1 species